GGCCUGUGGGAUGCAGCCCAACACCCCACCCCACCCUGCUCUCAACCUGCAGCUUUUGGAGAGCAGUAGCUGCUUGACACAUCUUUGUCCCUACCUCCUGCCUCAGGUGACACAUAAAAGAUACCAGAAAAGGAUUCGUUGAGGGAGUCUGCCCUUCCAUGCCUAAAUUAUCCAACCUGAGAAAUGGUGAGGUUAAACCUUACCGGCUGAAAAUGACUUAAAAGUGCCCAGAGAGUCUCUAAAGAAGCUGGGAUCGGAGCGCCCCCUGUGACGUAAAGGGAUUGGCAGAGUCUUGGGAGCUGCUGGGACACAGUCCCCAGCUGGGCACAGUGCGUUAAGGAUUUGGUGUUGCGGCAGCUGCCUGCGAUAUAAGUAAUCACUCACCGGCCAUGGUUCUCAAAGACUGGGAUGUGGGCCAGUCUCCCUCUUCCUGUGCAUCAGAAAAUCCACCUCCUCCAGGCUCCCCGGCUGAGGGGCUGAGCCCCCUUGCACCUCCCUUGCCCCUGCCUGGCUCUCUCCACGUGGCCACCUGCCUCCGUGGGCCAGCCACGUCCUGUGGAUACAGAGGAAGAGCAAGUUCAAGGAGUGUGAGCUCAGAGGAAGGAAGCGGCCCUGGGCCCAGGAAAUUUUAAAAAUUGGGACCCCUAAUCAGGAAUAAAGGUGCCCCUUCUCCACUCACUAAACUCUUGAAAGUCAGGAGAGGAGGAAGGCAGGAAGAGGAAGGGGUUCCUCACACCCCAGACCGCCAGUCUGCUGAGGGGACAGCUUGAGCAACAACACACCUGCUUUUCUUGGUCUCAGUUUCCCCCCAUAGGAUAUGGGUGUGGCCACCCUCUCCAUCCUGAGGUUCAUCGAGGAAGGAAACCAUCAAUGAGAAGGGGGAGCCUGUUAGAGUUCACAUGUGUUUCAUGAGGGCCACCACUCACUUCUGUACACAGCCACCCUUCCAGGACACUAAAUCCAGGACUACAUUAUGGGGAUUCAGAUGCGGGCAGGAGUCCCAGGAGGUUUGAGUUUCCCAAGAAGAUGCACAGUGAACACUUGUUGAUUGACUGACUGAUGGUAAGAAUAAAGAAGUGUGUCUCAUUGGAUUCAGUCCACGGAGUAUGUUGCCACAACCAUAAAGAGGUUAUUCACACUCUGGGCACCUAGACUUCUAGGACACACCCUCAUUUUCCUCUGGCCAGCCCUCUGCCUCCUCCAGGCUAAUGACCUCCCACAGACUCAGGAGGACUCCAGGCUUUAUUUAGGACCUCACUUCCGAUACUCUGCACUCAAAUCCAUCCAAUGCUAUUUCCUGCUGUGUUUUGCUGAUACUCUCCCUCCUUCAUCCUGAACUGACCUUAAAGUCAGCACACUGGGGCUACAGUGAGGCAGGUCAGAACCUUCAGGACACAGUGAAGGAAGGACUUGAAUUCAUCUCUAUUUCACCCAUGACAAAACUGAGGCACCAAAGGACUUAAGUAAAUUUGGAAUAAAUGAAAAAAAAAAUUGUGGAUAUUUCCAAUGGAAAACUUUGCAGUGUUUAGGACAUAUCCUUCUGUGCAAUCUGAUUAGAGCUUUUCAUUGCCUUUGAGCUUGUUUGCAACUCUAAGUUGCAGAGAAUUGAUGGCACAGCAAUGCUUCCUGUCUAUGGAUACGCAAAUAAAUGCUGUUUGUUCCAAGGACAACACUCUCCUUUUGUGGAAAAGUCAAUUUGCUUCCAUUUACAAGUUGAUUUCAACAUUCCUGUCCUAGAACUGCAUCUGUUCUUUGGAUUCUCCAUUGAAUGGUUUGUAAUAUAUCCCUGGUUCCCUUCUUAAUGAUAAGGUAAACAGAUCUUGAGUAUGUGUAUGAGGGUCAUGAUUUCAUCUUUUAAUUUUAUUUAUUGUUUUAAAAAAUUAUUUUUGCCACACCCAAAUUCCCAGG